rnacentral:ncRNA from 1 species
AAAGUUUUAUUCUUGCUUAUUUAUUCACUUUUUCUUUAUAUUAUAUGCAAGUUUUGUAAUACUAAAUGUUCUUUUUGCAGUGAUUUGGUUUAAUUAUCAAGUUAAUUUGGAAUUAGUAAUUGAUGAAGUAUUGGCAUAAUUCGUGCCAGCAGCCGCGGUUAUACGAUUAAUACAAGUGAACAUUAUUGGUUAAACAGUUAUUUGAAUUAUUUGGAUUUAAUUUUAAAAUUAUAAGGUGAAAUUUGAUUUUUUUUUGUAAUCCUUUUUAUGAAUCUGUGAAACUUAAAAUAUAAACUAGGAUUAGAUACCCUAUUAUUUUAAUUGUUAAUUUUUCUUACCUGGGUAUUAAUAGUUAAGGUCUUUAAACCCAAAGAAUUUGGCGGUAUCUCAUUCCAUUCAGAGGAACCUACCCCGUAAUUGAUAAUACACGAUUAACUUCACUUAAUUUAUUUGUUUGUAUAUCUCCGUUAUCAGAAAAUCUUUUUGGAGUUAUAAUUUUCAAAAUUUAUAAUUAUAAAAUAUUUCAGGUCAAGGUGCAGCUUAUAGUUAAGUGGAGGUGGGUUACAAUAAAUUUUUAUUUAUUAUGGAAUUGAUAAUGAAAAAUUUUAAUGAAGGUGGAUUUGAUUGUAAUUUAAUUUAUUUAAUUUAUUUGAUAUUGGCUCUGAGGUGUGUACACAUCGCCCGUCGCUCUCAUUAUUAUAUGUUAUAAUAGUAAACUUAAUAUAGAUGAGAUAAGUCGUAACAUAGUAGAUGUACUGGAAAGUGUAUCUAGAAAGGUUAA